rnacentral:rRNA from 1 species
AUUGAACGCUGGCGGCAGGCCUAACACAUGCAAGUCGAACGGUAACAGGAAGAAGCUUGCUUCUUUGCUGACGAGUGGCGGACGGGUGAGUAAUGUCUGGGAAACUGCCUGAUGGAGGGGGAUAACUACUGGAAACGGUAGCUAAUACCGCAUAACGUCGCAAGACCAAAGAGGGGGACCUUCGGGCCUCUUGCCAUCGGAUGUGCCCAGAUGGGAUUAGCUAGUAGGUGGGGUAACGGCUCACCUAGGCAACGAUCCCUAGCUGGUCUGAGAGGAUGACCAGCCACACUGGAACUGAGACACGGUCCAGACUCCUACGGGAGGCAGCAGUGGGGAAUAUUGCACAAUGGGCGCAAGCCUGAUGCAGCCAUGCCGCGUGUAUGAAGAAGGCCUUCGGGUUGUAAAGUACCUUCAGCGGGGAGGAAGGGAGUAAAGUUAAUACCUUUGCUCAUUGACGUUACCCGCAGAAGAAGCACCGGCUAACUCCGUG